CCUACGGGGGGCAGCAGUGAGGAAUAUUGGUCAAUGGGCGAGAUCCUGAACCAGCCAAGCCGCGUGAAGGAUGACUGCCCUAUGGGUUGUAAACUUCUUUUAUAUGAGAAUAAAACACGGUACGUAUCCCGUCUUGUGUGUACCCUAUGAAAAAGCAUCGGCUAACUCCGUGCCAGCAGCCGCGGUAAUACGGAGGAUCCGAGCGUUAUCCGGAUUUAUUGGGUUUAAAGGGUGCGUAGGUGGGUUGUUAAGUCAGUUGUGAAAGUUUGGGGCGCAACCGGAACAUUGCAGUUGAAACUGGCAGACUUGAGUACGGGAGAGGUACGCGGAAUGCGCGGUGUAGCGGUGAAAUGCAUAGAUAUCGCGAAGAACUCCGAUUGCGAAGGCAGCGCACUGGAGCGAGACUGACGCUGAUGCACGAAAGCGUGGGGAUCAAACAGGAUUAGAUACCCUAGUAGUC
rnacentral:rRNA from 1 species